UGACGCUCAUGGACGAAAGCCAGGGGAGCGAAAGGGAUUAGAUACCCCUGUAGUCCUGGCCGUAAACGAUGAACACUAGGUGUCGGGGGAAUCGACCCCCUCGGUGUCGUAGCCAACGCGUUAAGUGUUCCGCCUGGGGAGUACGCACGCAAGUGUGAAACUCAAAGGAAUUGACGGGGGCCCGCACAAGCGGUGGAGUAUGUGGUUUAAUUCGAUGCAACGCGAAGAACCUUACCAGGGUUUGACAUCCUGCGAAUCUCUUGGAAACGAGAGGGUGCCUUCGGGAACGCAGUGACAGGUGGUGCAUGGCUGUCGUCAGCUCGUGUCGUGAGAUGUUGGGUUAAGUCCCGCAACGAGCGCAACCCACGUCUUUAGUUGCCAGCAUUUAGUUGGGCACUCUAGAGAGACCGCCGGUGAUAAACCGGAGGAAGGUGUGGAUGACGUCAAGUCAUCAUGCCCCUUACAUCCUGGGCUACACACGUACUACAAUGCUACGGACAAAGAGCAGCAAGUUCGCGAGGACAAGCAAAUCUCAUAAACCGUGGCUCAGUUCAGAUCGUAGGCUGCAACUCGCCUACGUGAAGGAGGAAUCGCUAGUAAUCGCAGGUCAGCAUACUGCGGUGAAUACGUUCCCGGGCCUUGUACACACCGCCCGUCACACCAUGGAAGUUGGCCACGCCCGAAGCCGUUACUCCAACCCUUGUGGAGGAGGACGUCGAAGGUGGGGCUGAUGACUGGGGUGAAGUCGUAACAAGGUAACCGUA
rnacentral:rRNA from 1 species